rnacentral:rRNA from 1 species
UACGUAGGGUGCAAGCGUUGUCCGGAAUUAUUGGGCGUAAAGAGCUCGUAGGCGGUCUGUCGCGUCUGCUGUGAAACUCAGGGCUUAACCCUGAGCUUGCAGUGGGUACGGGCAGACUAGAGUGCGGUAGGGGAGACUGGAAUUCCUGGUGUAGCGGUGAAAUGCGCAGAUAUCAGGAGGAAUACCGGUGGCGAAGGCAGGUCUCUGGGCCAUAACUGACGCUGGAGAAGCGAAAGCAUGGGGAGCGAACAGG